CUCCAAAGAAGUCUUGGGCUUCCGGAAGAUCGGCUCCUGUCUUUCUUUCUCCCGGGGAGGAGGAGAGGAUUCUCGUGGUGCCCCUGAUGUCUGCUCCUGACUCAAACUCAUGGAAUAACAUGGUUUCUGAGGCUUAUUAUGAGAUACAAGAUGCUGUUUACACAUGUAAUAUUAGCAAGGGUAAUCUGCUAAAAUUAGUCCAACAUAGUAUGUGUGUAGAUUUGCAACAUUC
rnacentral:lncRNA from 1 species